GCCGGUGACCAUACCACGUUGAAAGCACCGGUUCUCGUCCAAUCACCGCAGUUACGCAACGUUGGGCCCGGUCAGUACUUGCAUGGGUGACCGGCGGGGAAUACCGGGUGUCGCCGGCU
rfam:Schistosoma mansoni, Puerto Rico, WGS project CABG01000000 data, contig: 0138